UUUUAUAUAGUUUAAAUAAAACCUUACAUUUUCAAUGUAAAAUUAGAUUCCUAUCUUAUAAAUA
rnacentral:tRNA from 1 species